CCCACAUAUGCCCGACCCCACCCCCUCCUGGGGCUUAUCAUUGAAAGAACCACCAUUUCUCAAACUUUAUCUGAAUUAGUUGUGUAACAUCAUUACAAAAUACUGUUAAAAAAAGGCCAAGUGGGCCUUCACUCCUGUAAAGGGCAUUCUAUCCAAUGACAUCAGACCAACAUCUACAUGGCGUUGUUCUCCAAAGCAUCGAGCAGUGUGAUAAAUCAGAUUGUCUUUUUGACCAGCAUGAAGUACAGACAUAGCCUUGGCAACAAGUGGGAGAAAAUUUUGAGGGACAAUUUUAGCAUUUAAACCAGGGUUAACUUUUACCAGCCAUUUUUGAAACAGGUGCAUGAGUAGUUAUUCUGGUUGUUGCUGGGUUAGUUUUGAAAAUCCAGAAGUCAUACCAAUAACAUAACCAGAAAGGUGAACAAGGUUUUGGUCACUUGAUGGAGAGACAAUCAUAGCAUCGGAGAUCUUGCAGAUGUAGAAGGUCUGUACAGAUUGGAAGGACCGAUUUUACCUCCAAAUUUAAUGAUGAUGCUUAAUUCUUGCAGACCAAAUCAUUGACAAAAAU